UCCUAGAGCGGUCGGCGGUGAUGGCCGGUUUGUAGGGUGUAACCGGUUUACAGGGUGUGAGGCUUGACGGUGACCUGGAGAAUACAUCGAGAGCAUGUUUCUGGUGGUCUAGUCUCAGAACUUAUAUCUGCAGUCUCCACAAUGAUUCCCUUCCAAGUCCAGUGGUGCCCAGUUGCCUCCAGGUCUCAGACUCCUACGUGGACAAGAAAAGCUUAGUGAGGAAAUGGUAAAUCUCCAUUUGCUCCCUGAGGUGUCGAGUGUCCAGUGGCAGUCCAUGGAGAUCCAAAUCAAUUAUGAAGCUCAAGAACACUACCUUCUGUCAGGUUACUUCCAUGAACC